rnacentral:misc_RNA from 1 species
UCCGUCUCUAAUAAUUAUCCCCUACCCUCUAGGCGAGGGAUGGUGGUCUUCUUGGCUGGGUAAUGGGCUCCCCUCCCCUCCCUAACUGGGUUGUUUAUAGUUUUUGUUGAGUUUUGUUUAGUUUUCUUACAAAUUUGGAUCUUGCAUGGUGAAAAUAUUAUUUUAGAUUUGUUUUGGGAGGUAGUUGUCAUAACUGUAUCUAGAAUCGGUGAUUUUAUGCGUCGUCAUGUCGAGGAUAAAAUUUGGUGGGGUUAAAAAUGAUGUCGGUGAAUGUCCUUUUGUCGUCCAGCGCUCCAUUGGAGUCCAGCUCUGGUGUCCUUGCCGAGUGGAAGCUCAAGCAGUAGAUGGGUUCGUUUCGUCUUCUCAAGCAAGCGGACAAUUUGGACACUUUAGUGCUCUCUUUGGUUUUUGGGUCUACUGUGUUGAUGUUCUAUGGUUCGGUUAGUGAUAGCAAUGGGUUGAAUUUUUGUGGGUACCUG